GAUGAACGCUGGCGGCGUGCCUAAUACAUGCAAGUCGAGCGAAUGGAUUAAGAGCUUGCUCUUAUGAAGUUAGCGGCGGACGGGUGAGUAACACGUGGGUAACCUGCCCAUAAGACUGGGAUAACUCCGGGAAACCGGGGCUAAUACCGGAUAACAUUUUGAACCGCAUGGUUCGAAAUUGAAAGGCGGCUUCGGCUGUCACUUAUGGAUGGACCCGCGUCGCAUUAGCUAGUUGGUGAGGUAAUGGCUAACCAAGGCAACGAUGCGUAGCCGACCUGAGAGGGUGAUCGGCCACACUGGGACUGAGACACGGCCCAGACUCCUACGGGAGGCAGCAGUAGGGAAUCUUCCGCAAUGGACGAAAGUCUGACGGAGCAACGCCGCGUGAGUGAUGAAGGCUUUCGGGUCGUAAAACUCUGUUGUUAGGGAAGAACAAGUGCUAGUUGAAUAAGCUGGCACCUUGACGGUACCCAACCAGAAAGCCACGGCUAACUACGUGCCAGCCGCCGCAGUAA
rnacentral:rRNA from 1 species